rnacentral:rRNA from 1 species
UACGGAGGGGGCUAGCGUUGUUCGGAAUUACUGGGCGUAAAGCGUGCGCAGGCGGUGAUGUAAGACAGUUGUGAAAUCCCCGGGCUCAACCUGGGAACUGCAUCUGUGACUGCAUCGCUGGAGUGCGGCAGAGGGAGAUGGAAUUCCGCGUGUAGCAGUGAAAUGCGUAGAUAUGCGGAGGAACACCGAUGGCGAAGGCAAUCCCCUGGGCCUGCACUGACGCUCAUGCACGAAAGCGUGGGGAGCAAACAGG